AAGGAUCAAGCACACUCUUUACCUGCCCAAGUUACCGGUUAAACAUUGAUUAGAAGCUUUAGCCAUGAAUAUGAAUUUUAGCCAUUAGCAGAGCAAGCACAAAAUGCUUGCUGUUGACAUUCCCAACCUCCAUUUUGAGAGGGCUUUUAGUCCAAGGGUUAUUAGCCUCCUCUUCUGCGCAACUCCUAAAGAACGGAGGCUCAUAAUCUGCCGGCGUUACAUCAUCAUAGUAGAGUAGUUUCAUCAGUAUUGUGCGCUCUUCAGGCAUCCUAUCCAGCGUUCUCAUCAGCUGAACCAGGGUACGGAUCAUUUUAC
rnacentral:misc_RNA from 1 species